rnacentral:rRNA from 1 species
AUUGAACGCUGGCGGCAGGCCUAACACAUGCAAGUCGAGCGAGCGGCGGACGGGUGAGUAAUGUAUGGGGACUGUCCGUAAGAGGGGGAUAACUACAGGAGAAGGUAGCUAAUACCGCAUACAAUCGGAUAACCCAUAUGGGAUUAGCUAGUAGGUGAGGUAAUGGCUCACCUAGGGGACGAUCCCUAGCGGGUCUGAGAGGAUGAUCAGCCACACUGGGACUGAGACACGGCCCAGACUCCUACGGAGGCAGCAGUGGGGAAUAUUGCACAAUGGGCGCAAGCCUGAUGCAGCCAUGCCGCGUGUAUGAAGAAGGCCUUAGGGUUGUAAAGUACUUUCAGUCGGGAGGCGUUACCCACAGAAGAAGCACCGGCUAACUCCGUGCCAGCCGCCGCGGUAAUUC